rnacentral:rRNA from 1 species
GAUGAACGCUAGCUACAGGCUUAACACAUGCAAGUCGAGGGGAAACGACAUCGAAAGCUUGCUUUUGAUGGGCGUCGACCGGCGCACGGGGUGAGUAACGCGUAUCCAACCUGCCCACCACUUGGGGGAUAACCUUGCGAAAGUAAGACUAAUACCCGAUGAUAUCCCUAGAAGACAUCUGAAAGGGAUUAAAGAUUUAUCGGUGAUGGAUGGGGAUGCGUCUGAUUAGCUUGUUGGCGGGGUAACGGCCCACCAAGGCGACGAUUGGUAGGGGUUCUGAGAGGAAGGUCCCCCACAUUGGAACUGAGACACGGUCCAAACUCCUACGGGAGGCAGCAGUGAGGAAUAUUGGUCAAAUGGGCGAGAGCCUGAACCAGCCAAGCAGCGUGCAGGAUGACGGCCCUAUGGGUUGAAACUGCUUUAGCCGGGGAAUAAAGUGGGCCACGUGUGGCCUAUUGCAUGUACCCGGAGAAUAAGCAUCGGCUAAUUCCGUGCCAGCAGCCGACGG